rnacentral:rRNA from 1 species
UACGGAGGAUCCAAGCGUUAUCCGGAUUUAUUGGGUUUAAAGGGUGCGUAGGCGGCCUUGUAAGUCAGGGGUGAAAGACGGUAGCUCAACUAUCGCAGUGCCUUUGAUACUGCAGGGCUUGAAUGUACUUGAGGUAGGCGGAAUGUGACAAGUAGCGGUGAAAUGCAUAGAUAUGUCACAGAACACCAAUUGCGAAGGCAGCUUACUAAAGUAUGAUUGACGCUGAGGCACGAAAGCGUGGGGAGCAAACAGG